rnacentral:lncRNA from 10 species
UUGAUUGGAGCUCUUCCAGGGCUUCCUUCCUGGGCCAUGGACCCCUCUGAGGCCAUUCGCCUCUGUUCCAGUUUGGCUCUCCUGGACCCCUCUGGAUGGCUAGGUUGUUCCUCCUCAGUCUGCAUUGAUUGGAGCUGGGACCGAAGCCCCCAUUCCAGAAACCGGACCAGGAGAUAGGCAAACAAGAAGAAGCCACCCAAUGUGAGAAAGAAAUAAGCAACGGGGGUGAUGUCCGUCUUUAUGCCCAGCAAAGCCAGCCCCAGUAGGAAGGAGGCGCAGCACAGGAGGAGAAGCGGCUUCUCCAGUCUCCCCAGUUCUUCAAUCUCAAAUAAAUCAUCUGUAGAGUCCCCUCCAGUUCCGAAAUUCUCUCUAUGUCUUGGAGUGUGUGGAAUAGCCAGGAAACCAGCCCAGGAGCUUUGACUCCCAGCCAUUCUGCACCUUAAGCAAAAAGGAAGUUAGCCACACAUGGUGGCUCAUGACUGUAGUCUCAGCUACAUGGGAGGCAAGGCGAGAGGAUCUCUUGAGCCCAGGAGUUCGAGGCCAGCCUAGGCAAUGUAGUAAGACCCUGUUCUUAAAUUUUUUUAAAAAGCAA